rnacentral:rRNA from 1 species
AGCGAACGCUGGCGGCAGGCCUAACACAUGCAAGUCGAACGAAGUCUUCGGACUUAGUGGCGGACGGAUGAGUAACACGUGGGAACGUGCCUUUAGGUUCGGAAUAACUCAGGGAAACUUGUGCUAAUACCGAAUGUGCCCCUCGGGGGAAAGAUUUAUCGCCUUUAGAGCGGCCCGCGUCUGAUUAGCUAGUUGGUGAGGUAAAGACUCACCAAGGCGACGAUCAGUAGCUGGUCUGAGAGGAUGAUCAGCCACAUUGGGACUGAGACACGGCCCAAACUCCUACGGGAGGCAGCUGUGGGGAAUCUUGCGCAAUGGGCGAAAGCCUGACGCAGCCAUGCCGCGUGAAUGAUGAAGGUCUUAGGAUUGUAAAAUUCUUUCACCGGGGACGAUAAUGACGGUACCCGGAGAAGAAGCCCCGGCUAACUUCGUGCCAGCCGCCGCAGUAAAAC